rnacentral:rRNA from 1 species
CCUACGGGGGGCAGCAGUGAGGAAUAUUGGUCAAUGGGCGGAAGCCUGAACCAGCCAAGUCGCGUGAGGGAAUAAGGCCCUACGGGUCGUAAACCUCUUUUGCCGGGGAGCAAGGGCGGGGACGUGUCCCGUCCCGGAGAGUACCCGGAGACAAAGCAUCGGCUAACUCCGUGCCAGCAGCCGCGGUAAUACGGAGGAUGCGAGCGUUAUCCGGAUUUAUUGGGUUUAAAGGGUGCGUAGGCGGGCUUUUAAGUCAGCGGUAAAAAUUCGGGGCUCAACCCCGUCCGGCCGUUGAAACUGGGGGCCUUGAGUGGGCGAGAAGAAGGCGGAAUGCGUGGUGUAGCGGUGAAAUGCAUAGAUAUCACGCAGAACCCCGAUUGCGAAGGCAGCCUUCCGGCGCCCGACUGACGCUGAGGCACGAAAGUGCGGGGAUCGAACAGGAUUAGAUACCCCGGUAGUC